UGAAUGAGAAGAAAGUGCGUGGUUCCUUUU
rnacentral:piRNA from 1 species